rnacentral:rRNA from 1 species
AGAGUUUGAUCAUGGCUCAGAACGAACGCUGGCGGCGUGGAUAAGACAUGCAAGUCGAACGCUGACAUUCAGGUAGCAAUAUUUGGAUGUCGGAGUGGCGCAAGGGUGCGUAACACGUGGGCAAUCUGCCGUGAAGUCUGGGAUAACUCGCUGAAAGGCGAGCUAAUACCGGAUGUGAAAAUCGGAUGGCAUCAUCUGGUUUUCAAAGUUGGGGACCGCAAGGCCUGACGCUUCACGAUGAGCCCGCGGCCUAUCAGCUAGUUGGUGAGGUAACGGCUCACCAAGGCUAAGACGGGUAGCUGGUCUGAGAGGACGACCAGUCACACUGGAACUGAGACACGGUCCAGACACCUACGGGUGGCAGCAGUCGAGAAUUUUUCUCAAUGGGCGAAAGCCUGAAGGAGCGACGCCGCGUGGGGGAUGAAUGGCUUCGGCCCGUAAACCCCUGUCAUUUGUGAACAAAUUGUUUCACCUAACAUGUGAAGCAUUGAUAGUAACGGAAGAGGAAGGGACGGCUAACUCUGUGCCAGCAGCCGCGGUAAUACAGAGGUCCCAAGCGUUGUUCGGAUUCACUGGGCGUAAAGGGUGCGUAGGCGGUCGGGUAAGUCUGACGUGAAAUCUCCGGGCCUAACCCGGAAACUGCGUCGGAUACUAUCCGGCUAGAGGAUUGGAAGGAGACUGGAAUACUUGGUGUAGCAGUGAAAUGCGUAGAUAUCAAGUGAACACCAGUGGCGAAGCGAGUCUCUGGACAAUUCCUGACGCUGAGGCACGAAAGCCAGGGGAGCAAACGGGAUUAGAUACCCCGGUAGUCCUGGCCCUAAACGGUGCGCAUUUGCUGUGAGAGGAUCGACCCUUUCGUGCGAGCUACGCGUAAAUGCGCGCUGGGAGUACGCGCA